UACAGAGGUGGCAAGCGUUGUUCGGACUUACUGGGCGUAAAGGGCGCGUAGGCGGCCUCGCAAGUCCCGUGUGAAAUCCCUCGGCUCAACUGAGGAAUGGCACGGGAAACUGCGGGGCUUGAGUUCGGGAGAGGGAAGCGGAAUUCCGGGUGUAGCGGUGAAAUGCGUAGAUAUCCGGAGGAACACCAGUGGCGAAGGCGACUACCUGGCCUGUUCUUGACGCUGAGGCGCGAAAGCUAGGGGAGCAAACGGG
rnacentral:rRNA from 1 species